rnacentral:rRNA from 1 species
GAUGAACGCUGGCGGCGUGCCCAAUACAUGCAAGUCGAGCGAACAGACGAGGAGCUUGCUCCUCUGACGUUAGCGGCGGACGGGUGAGUAACACGUGGAUAACCUACCUAUAAGACUGGGAUAACUUCGGGAAACCGGAGCUAAUACCGGAUAAUAUAUUGAACCGCAUGGUUCAAUAGUGAAAGACGGUUUUGCUGUCACUUAUAGAUUGAUCCGCGCCGCAUUAGCUAGUUGGUAAGGUAACGGCUUACCAAGGCAACGAUGCGUAGCCGACCUGAGAGGGUGAGCGGCCACACUGGAACUGAGACACGGUCCAGACUCCUACGGGAGGCAGCAGUAGGGAAUCUUCCGCAAUGGGCGAAAGCCUGACGGAGCAACGCCGCGUGAGUGAUGAAGGUCUUCGGAUCGUAAAACUCUGUUAUUAGGGAAGAACAAAUGUGUAAGUAACUAUGCACGUCUUGACGGUACCUAAUCAGAAAGCCACGGCUAACUACGUG